UGAGCAAUCAGCCCUUCACAUCGGAAUAACCAUUGGAAACGAUGGCUAAUACCGAAUAUGACUUCGGAUCGCAUGAUCUGAAGUGGAAAGCUCCGGCGGUGAAGGAUGAGCUCGCGGCCUAUCAGCUUGUUGGUGAGGUAAUAGCUCACCAAGGCGAUGACGGGUAGCCGGCCUGAGAGGGUGACCGGCCACACUGGGACUGAGACACGGCCCAGACCUCCG
rnacentral:rRNA from 1 species